AGAACAAAAAAUGGCUCUUUGCAGAGCUCGAAUGGCUUCAUCUUUCCUUCUUCGCAAUGUCAUCAAUCGCUCUUUCUCUACAAGUCCAUUUGAAGCAAUGAUAUCGAAAAUGAAACCAUCGAAGGAGCUUGAAUCAAUGAUGGAGCAGUUCUCAUUAGACAUCAGUUCUCAAAUCGGAAGUUGUAUGCCAUUAGGUAUGAUGCGAAUCGGAACCCUAAUUCAUAAUAUUGAGUUGCGACCUGGGCAAGGUGGGAAAUUGGUUCGUUCAGCUGGGACGUGUGCUAAGAUCCUUACGGAACCUAAUGCUUCUACGAAGUACUGUGAAGUGAAGUUACCAUCCGGUGUGAAGAAAUUGAUUGAUGUUAAAUGUAGGGCGACGAUUGGGCAAGUUUCGAACCCGGAACAUGGGACGAAGAAGUUGAGGAAGGCUGGACAAUCUAGGUGGCUUGGACGGAGACCCACUGUUCGUGGUGUGGCGAUGAAUCCGGUGGAUCAUCCACAUGGUGGUGGUGAAGGGAGGAGUAAGAGUAGUGGAAGUCAUGGGAGAGGUUCGUUGACACCUUGGGGAAAACCUACUAAGGGUGGGUAUAAAACUGGGCCGCUUAAGAGGAGAAAGUAGUUCUUUUUUUGGGUAUUUUGAUGGAUACUUAAUUGUCAAUGUUAUGUUUUCUUGAUGAAGUUUAUGGGGAGACAAUAAUUAUGAGCAAAUCAAGUCCGAAACUUGUUUAGGAAUGAUGGAGGUUUUUUCCGCAUUUUGGUUUGAUAGAAAUUGUGUAACUUCUGAUUGUUUUGAACUAAUGGUUACUCGAACGAUCAUUAGAAAAACACCUUGUAAGCUAUUGUUUUUGUAAGUUCUGAGGAUCUUAU
rnacentral:misc_RNA from 1 species